GACGAACGCUGGCGGCGUGCCUAAUACAUGCAAGUUGAGCGAUGAAGAUUGGUGCUUGCACCAAUUUGAAGAGCAGCGAACGGGUGAGUAACGCGUGGGGAAUCUGCCUUUGAGCGGGGGACAACAUUUGGAAACGAAUGCUAAUACCGCAUAACAACUUUAAACAUAAGUUUUAAGUUUGAAAGAUGCAAUUGCAUCACUCAAAGAUGAUCCCGCGUUGUAUUAGCUAGUUGGUGAGGUAAAGGCUCACCAAGGCGAUGAUACAUAGCCGACCUGAGAGGGUGAUCGGCCACAGUGGGACUGAGACACGGCCCAAACCCCUACGGGAGGCAGCAGGAGGGAAUCUUCGGCAAGAGACGAAAGUCUGACCGAGCAACGCCGGGUGAGUGAAGAAGGUUUUCGGAUCGGAAAACUCUGUUGGUAGAGAAGAACGUUGGUGAGAGUGGAAAGCUCAUCAAGUGACGGUAACUACACAGAAAGGGACGGCUAACUACGUG
rnacentral:rRNA from 1 species